CGAAAGAGUUGAUAAAUAAAGGGGGAGACGGGGAGAGAAAGAAAGAGAAAGAGAGAGAGAGAGAGAGAGAAGCCUGGGUAGCACAGGAUUAAGAAGCUGAUGGAGACAGGUUGAUUAUUCAAAGCGCCAAGCCACAGGGACACCUAAACGCUGCCCCAGAAAUUAGCAUCGCAAUCACAUCAAUGGUGUCACUAUCUCUAUGGGAAUGAUCGCCGGAGCAGUGGGGUGUGCUUUAUUCCAAUUCUUCUUCGUGGAUCAACUGAUUAUACUCUGUCGUCUUUUGAACCUGUUAUUGAUUUCCUGGCGUCCUCCCCUGGCUCGGCCCUGCCAAGAACUGUCUCCUCUUUCUCCAACUCUGAAAUAUUUGUCACCGCUCCUGCCCGGCCCGGCCAGGGCUGCACCUGUGGCUGGAUUGGCAGCCUCCAGUCCGGUUCCCAAGUGCAGGAGCCCUGAGCUCCCAGUCCCCAUGGGUGACUCCAACUGCAGCCACUGCCCGCCUGAGAUGCUCCGACCCACCCUUCGCUGGCUCCUCCUGUAUCUUCCAGGUAGCUCCAGACCUUCAAUUUCUUCUUUUUUUAUUAUUAUUUUUUUUUUUUUUUUGAGACAGAGUCUCACUCUGUUGCCCAGGCUAGAGUGAGUGCCGUGGCGUCAGCCUCGCUCACAGCAACCUCCAACUCCUGGGCUCAAAUGAUCCUCCUGCCCCAGCCUCAGCCUCCCGAGUAGCUGGAACUACAGGCAUGCGCCACCAUGCCC
rnacentral:lncRNA from 1 species